rnacentral:rRNA from 1 species
GAUGAACGCUGGCGGCGUGCCUAAUACAUGCAAGUCGAGCGAACAGACGAGGAGCUUGCUCCUCUGACGUUAGCGGCGGACGGGUGAGUAACACGUGGAUAACCUACCUAUAAGACUGGGAUAACUUCGGGAAACCGGAGCUAAUACCGGAUAAUAUAUUGAACCGCAUGGUUCAAUAGUGAAAGACGGUUUUGCUGUCACUUAGAGAUGGAUCCGCGCCGCAUUAGCUAGUUGGUAAGGUAACGGCUUACCAAGGCAACGAUGCGUAGCCGACCUGAGAGGGUGAUCGGCCACACUGGAACUGAGACACGGUCCAGACUCCUACGGGAGGCAGCAGUAGGGAAUCUUCCGCAAUGGGCGAAAGCCUGACGGAGCAACGCCGCGUGAGUGAUGAAGGUCUUCGGAUCGUAAAACUCUGUUAUUAGGGAAGAACAAAUGUGUAAGUAACUAUGCACGUCUUGACGGUACCUAAUGAGAAAGCCACGGCUAACUACGUG